AUCAAGCUUAUCGAUACCGUCAGACGAAAUCCAGAGUGGGAAUUAGUGGUAUCCUGAGUAAUACAUCACACGUGGAACGAUGUAUGAACCCGCGCGGACCACCGCGCAAGGCUAAAUACUAGUUGGCGACCGAUAGUGAACAAGUACCGCGAGGGAAAGGUGAAAAGAACCGCUGUGAGCGGAGUGAAAUAGAACCUGAAACCGUAUGUCUACAAAGUGUCAGAGCAGAGCAAUCUGCGAUGGCGUGCCUUUUGUUUAAUGAGUCUGCGAGUCAGUGUUUGUGGCAAGACUAAGGGCUUCCGGCCCGGAGUCGCAGCGAAAGCAAGUCCGAACAGGGCGCAAUAAGUCGCAGGUACUGGACCCGAAGCGGAGGUGACCUACCCUUGGCCAGGUUGAAGCAUGGGUAAAACCAUGUGGAGGACCGAACAGGUGAACGUUGAAAAGUUCUCUGAUGAGCUGAGGGUAGGAGUGAAAGGCUAAUCAAACCCCGUGAUAGCUGGUUCUCUUCGAAAUGCAUUUAGGUGCAGCGUCACGUGCUGAUGCGCGGGGGUAGAGCACUGACAAGGCUAGGGGGCACACCCGCUUACCAAACCUUAUCAAACUCCGAAUACCGUGCAAUGGAACGUGGCAGUGAGACAGUGGGGGAUAAGCUUCAUUGUCGAGAGGGAAACAACCCAGACCAGCAGCUAAGGUGCCUAAAUAACGCUCAGUGGAAAGGAUGUGGGAUUACACAGACAGUGAGGAUGUUGGCUUAGAAGCAGCCACCAUUUAAAAAAUGCGUAAUAGCUUACUCAUCGAGUGAUCCUGCGCCGAAAAUGAUUGGCGAUCAAGCGUUAUACCGAAGCUCUGGACUUUGCCGCAAGGCAGAGUGGUAGAAGAGCGUUGCAUGCGCGUCGAAGGGCGAUGGCGACUGACCCUGGAGCACAUGCAAGUGAGUAUGCAGACAUGAGUAACGUUAAGCCGGGUGAAAUCCCCGGCCGCCGUAAACCCGAGGUUUCCAGGGCAACGUGUUUCGUCCCUGGGUUAGCCGGGACCUAAGCCGAGGCCGAGAGGCGUAGGCGAUGGACAUCAGGUUAAUAAUCCUGAGCUCGCAACCCUUAAACUGGGGGGACGCAUGAGAAAAGAUGACUAGGUUAUUGAAUUCCGAGUUGAGUCUACGGACUCAGCGCAUCAUUGGAUCGAGUGCCAAGAAAAGCCCCAGCGUAUGCUAAGCGACCCGUACCGCAAACCGACACAGGUGGGUGGGUAGAAUAUACCAAGGCGUAAGAGUGAAACCUGGUUAAGGAACUCGGCAAAUUAGCCCCGUAACUUCGGAAGAAGGGGUGCCUGCAGCGAUGCAGGCCGCAGAGAAAUGGCCCAACCGACUGUUUAUCAAAAACACAGCACUCUGCAAAGACGCAAGUCGAAGUAUAGGGUGUGACACGUGACCAAUGCCGAAAGAUUAAGGCAAGGGGUUAGCCGCAAGGCGAAGCUCUAAACCCAAGUCCCGGUGAAUGUCGGCCGUAACUAUAACGGUCCUAAGGUAGCGAAAUUCCUUGUCGGGUAAGUUCCG
rnacentral:rRNA from 1 species